rnacentral:lncRNA from 1 species
UUUCAUGUUCAUAACAAAAAUGAAAGAAAUUAGGAAACAAAAAGAAAGAUAAUCUAAACAAAGCCGAUAAAAUAGAAAACAAAAAGAAAGAUAAUCUAAACAAAGCCGAUAAAAUAGGAAACAAAAAGAAAGAUAAUCUAAACAAAGCCGAUAAAAUAGGAAACAUUUGGAAAAUACCAAAUUAAUAAGAGUCAGGAAAAUAUAUCCUCAGCAUCGUCAAUAUAGUAUCUUCCAUGCCCUUGUCAGGAUGCAGCUCUCCUACAUCAUAAUAAAAUGUUUUGUUCAAAUCAAAUUCUCUGGUGGAGUUAGAAUUGAUAUCAUAAAUCCGAUACACAUUCUUCGAUUGGUCUUCUUCUUCGUCAUAUGGCUUGUUCAAAUCAAAUCUCCGGAUAGUGUUAGAUUCGGUUUGAGUAGGUUGAACAUGAUUCAAAUCUCCUUCUUCUUCCUUCAUUUUUUUUCUAGCUUCUUCUUGCUUCAUUUAGAAAGAGAAAAACGAUUAACA